rnacentral:rRNA from 1 species
CAUCCUGCCCAGUGAAUUUAUUUUCAACGGCCGCGGUAUCCUGACCGUGCAAAGGUAGCAUAAUCAUUUGCCUUUUAAUUGAAGGCUAGUAUGAAAGGACACACAAGAAUAAAGCUGUCUCAUUUGGGUUAUCUUUAAACUGAUUUUUAGGUGAAGAAGCCUAAAUCCCUAUAAAGGACAAGAAGACCCUAUAGAGCUUUAUCAGUAAAAGUUAUUAAACUUAUUUACUGAUUUGGUUGGGACAACCAAAAGACAAUAAUACCUCUUUUUUCCAAAAUAUCCACCCUCACCCAUAACUGAAACAGAAUUUCAAGCUACCUUAGGGAUAACAGGCUAAUCCCACUAGAGAGACCACAUUGACAGUGGGGAUUGGCACCUCGAUGUUGGCUUAGUGUUACCAUUAGGCGCAGCCGCUUAAUUGA